CUUUCUCUCUUGUUUUUCUCUCUUCUCCUCCUCUGUUUCUCUCUCCCUCUCUUUAUUACUAUCCCUCCGAAUCGAAGCAAAAGUUUACACACGGAGAAAAGUUGUUCCAACGGUUACCCAUUUUUCCUUUUCUCUCUCUAACAUAUCUUAAGAAAGGCGAUCAAUGCCUGCUCAGAAGAGGUCUCUGCCUGAUAAUCCCGACAACGAUGAGGAAGA
rnacentral:misc_RNA from 1 species